AUGUGUGUUCUGAAGAAGAAAGGUGGUAUGGGGUUUAGAUACCCUCAUGACUUUAAGUUUGCUAUGUUAACAAAGUAGUGUUACCGACUUCUCUAGAAUCCUGACUCUUUGUGUGCACGAGUGUUGAGUGCUAAAUAUCAUCCUAAUGGUGAUAUCCUAAAGGCAGGACCAAAGAAAGGGUCAUCGAGUAUGUGGCAAAGCAUUGUAGCAGGAAUUCAGACCUUCAAAAGGGGUUGUAUAUGGCGAGUGGGCUCUGGUUCAACAAACAUUUGGGAUGACUCUUGGAUCCCAUCUAGUGAGUCAAGGAAAUUGACCACCCCCAGAGGAGGAAUAAUGUUAACAAAGGUGGAAGAAAUCAUUGACCCCCAUACUGGACAGUGGGAUGAGGAGCUUAUAUGGGGUGUCUUUUCACCCGUGGAUGUUAACAAAAUAUUGUAGAUCCCUCUUAAUGUUGAAGCUCUUGAUGACUUUGUAGCUUGGCACUAUACUAGGUCCAGAACUUUCACAGUCCGGUCGGCCUACCAUGUGGAGUUUGAUCAUUAG
rnacentral:rRNA from 1 species